rnacentral:rRNA from 1 species
AUUGAACGCUGGCGGCAGGCUUAACACAUGCAAGUCGAACGGUAACAGGGAUUAGCUUGCUAAUUUGCUGACGAGUGGCGGACGGGUGAGUAAUGCUUGGGAAUCUGGCUYAUGGAGGGGGAUAACUACGGGAAACUGUAGCUAAUACCGCGUAAUAUCUUCGGAUUAAAGUGUGGGACCGCAAGGCCACAUGCCAUGAGAUGAGCCCAAGUGGGAUUAGGUAGUUGGUGGGGUAAAGGCCUACCAAGCCGACGAUCUCUAGCUGGUCUGAGAGGAUGACCAGCCACACUGGAACUGAGACACGGUCCAGACUCCUACGGGAGGCAGCAGUGGGGAAUAUUGCACAAUGGGGGGAACCCUGAUGCAGCCAUGCCGCGUGAAUGAAGAAGGCCUUCGGGUUGUAAAGUUCUUUCGGUAGCGAGGAAGGUGGUAAUGUUAAUAGCAUUAUCAAUUGACGUUAACUACAGAAGAAGCACCGGCUAACUCCGU